rnacentral:miRNA from 1 species
GAUUUGCAUUCGUGUGGACUCUGUGCAUGCCAGUGUCUGUACGUGAGUGUGUGCAUGUGCGUACAUGUA